CAUGCCGCGUGAGUGAAGAAGGCCUUCGGGUUGUAAAGCUCUUUUGUCAGGAAAGAAAUCGCACUGGAUAAUACCUGGUGUGGAUGACGGUACCUGAAGAAUAAGCACCGGCUAACUACGUGCCAGCAGCCGCGGUAAUACGUAGGGUGCAAGCGUUAAUCGGAAUUACUGGGCGUAAAGCGUGCGCAGGCGGUUGUGCAAGACAGAUGUGAAAUCCCCGGGCUUAACCUGGGAACUGCAUUUGUGACUGCACGGCUAGAGUGUGUCAGAGGGGGGUAGAAUUCCACGUGUAGCAGUGAAAUGCGUAGAUAUGUGGAGGAACAUCAGUGGCGAAAGCGACUUCCUGGACCAAUACUGACGCUCAUGUGCGAAAGCGUGGGGAGCAAACAGGAUUAGAUACCCUGGUAGUCCACGCCAUAAACGAUGAGAACUGGAUGUCGGGAGGGUCUGCCUCUCGGUGUCGUAGCUAACGCGUUAAGUUCUCCGCCUGGGGAGUACGGCCGCAAGGUUG
rnacentral:rRNA from 1 species